ensembl:lncRNA
UAAUCCCAAGCAGUGCACCUUACUAUGUAGCAAAGCAAAAGAGGGGACGUCCUCUCCCGAGGACACCUGCUCCUGGUUGCAAACACUGUCAGAUACUGUUCACUGAGCUACAGGUGGUGAAGCAGUUGCUAGAGUGUGAACUUGAUAGGAAUCAUGAGUUCAAGCAGAUACAUUCUUCAACCAAGUGUGCAAAUGUUAAAUAUAGCAGACGUAAACGGUUUUCAUCCAGCAAAGCCCCUCACUAUGUAAGACUGGUGGAAGAAUUUAGGGCCCAUGCAGAAGGUGUGAACCCUAGCAGAAAAAUACAUGAAAAUGCAAGGCAGCGGGCCACUCAUGUCAUCCAGUUUCUGGAAUUCAUGGCAGACCCAGCAAUUCCAAACACUGACCUUCUGUUUCUGAGGAACCAUGGAAAAGUCCGUGAUUUUCUAGCACACCUGCAAGCAAAAGGGUUUAAACCAACAACUCAGAGAGCUUAUCUCAUGGAUGCUAUUGCUUUCAUGAAAUAUAUAUUAAACAUGUCACCACCACAAGUCAGACUUGGAAAUAAAAGGAUCAACGCCCUUUUGGUCGAACUGAGGGCACGUAACAGAGAUGUUGGCCGUGAAGUAGUCGUGCACCAGCUGAAUGUGCGCCGAUCUAAGUCUAAAAGGCUUGUCAAAGCAGAAAAACAUGCUUUGUUCAUUGAAGAGGCUCCCCAGAAGAUUGCUGCCGCACUGGAUGACCUCGAGAAGCAACCCCAGAACAGAACAAUAUUGAAAUUGUUUUU